GAGGCAGGUGGUCUCGUUUGUCUGGGGUGAAAUCCCGGAGCUUAACUCCGGAAGUGCCUCGGAAACGGCGAGACUUGAGUUCUAGAGAGGGUCGUGGAAUUCCCGGUGUAGCGGUGAAAUGCGUAGAGAUCGGGAGGAACACCAGAUGCGAAGGCGACGACCUGGAUAGAUACUGACACUCAACUCCGAAAGCGUGGGGAGCAAACAGGAUUAGAUACCCUGGUAGUCC
rnacentral:rRNA from 1 species